GACGAACGCUGGCGGCGUGCCUAAUACAUGCAAGUCGAACGAGAGCACCCGGUGCUUGCACUGGUCAAUCUAGUGGCGAACGGGUGAGUAACACGUGGGUAACCUGCCCAUCAGAGGGGGAUAACAUCCGGAAACGGAUGCUAAAACCGCAUAGGUCUUCGAACCGCAUGGUUUGAAGAGGAAAAGAGGCGCGAGCUUCUGCUGAUGGUUGGACCCGCGGUGCAUUAGCUAGUUGGUGAGGUAACGGCUUACCAAGGCCGUGAUGCAUAGCCGACCUGAGAGGGUGAUCGGCCACAUUGGGACUGAGACACGGCCCAGACUCCUACGGGAGGCAGCAGUAGGGAAUCUUCCGCAAUGGACGCAAGUCUGACGGAGCAACGCCGCGUGAGUGAAGAAGGUUUUCGGAUCGUAAAACUCUGUUGUUAGAGAAGAACAAGUGCUAGAGUAACUGUUAGCGCCUUGACGGUAUCUAAUCAGAAAGCCACGGCUAACUACGUG
rnacentral:rRNA from 1 species